AGCGAGGUAAGGUGAAUCUAAAUCGAAACUGAAAUUUGGAAAACAAAUAUGUCGCACUUCUCUUUCUCGAAGCUGAAAAAUCGGUGAAAUCGGCGUGAAAAAAAUGAGUUCCAAGGAGAAUCCUCCAAAGAAAAAAGGAUACGACAAAGGCAUGGUGAAGAGGUUUAAAAUGAGACUCGACCUCAUAUUUGACUACAAUGGUUUAGUUAAUCAAGGAGCAACGUGUUAUUUGAACAGUGUGCUGCAGGUCCUCUUCAUGACUAAGGACUUCAGAGAGGCUGUGGAAAGUCACUGUGGUCAAGAUCAGAAGACUGCUGAUUUUCACCUGAAAAGCCUUUUCGAGGCGUUGAAGACAAGUGAAACUCACACAAAGGACAUCUUAUCCAUACUUGGCAUUGGAAAUGUUUACGAGCAACGGGAUGCUGCUGAAUAUUUUGAGAAUAUUUUAAGCAUGGUCAAUCCUUAUGUGUCUAAGAUCUUCAAAGGACAUUUGAGACACACGAUGAGAUGUUCAGAAGGUCAUGUGACCAGUGUUGAAACUGGUCCAUUCUGGACUCUACCACUCUCAAUAGAAAAUCAAUCAGACUCAAACAAAACCUACAGUGUGAGGGAUGGUUUUGAGGAGUUUUUCAAGUCUUCAACUGUCAGUGAGAUGUAUUGCGACCAAUGCAAUGAGAAAACCCGUUCCACCAUUACAUGUAAAAUGGAACAUCACCCAGAGAUUCUGACUCUGCUCCUCAAGAGGUUUGAGUUUGACUACCACAGUAUGUCAUAUACCAAAAAUGACUGCUGUGUUGAAGUUCCUCACACGUUACGGACAAAGAACUGUGACUAUGAACUCUAUGCAAUGGUGGACCAUGUGGGAAGUCUAAGAGGUGGACAUUACACUGCUAGAAUCAAGUCCUAUGAUGAUCACAACUGGUAUGUGUUCGAUGACAGCUACGUCAGACAGCCCAAUCCACAAUCAAUCAGUCAUAUGAAUAAUGAAAGAUCCCAGAGUGUGUAUCUGCUUAUGUACAAGAAAUCACGUGCUCCGGAUCAACCAGGAGAAGAGGAAAUUAAGAAAGGAGGAGGAAUUAAAGUGUAUGGAAGAGGAAUGGAAGGAAAUAGAAGAAGAAUUGAGGAGAAUAAAAGAGGAAUGGAAGGAAAUAGAAGAAGAAUUGAGGAGAAUAAAAGAGGAAUGGAAUACAAUUAAAGCGGAAUUGAAGAAAAGAAUCAAUGUAGAAUCACAGAGUAUAGCAUUGCCAUUGGAGAGAAUAUAUGUGGAAUUCAAGACAUGGGUAGACAACAAUGGAAGAGGCAUUGAUGACACUCCUCAACAAUUCAUGACAAUAAGAGAGACAGUGAAGAUGAUAGAAGAGGAAGAGAAGAGAAUAUACGGAGUUGACGAGUAUAGAAGAGAAAUUGAAAUGAAUACAAAAGAAAUUUAAAUGUAUAGAAGAGGAAUUGAAAAGCAUAGAAGAGGAAUUGAAAAGUAUAGAAAAGGAAUCGGAGAGUAUAGAAGAGAAAGUGAAGGGUAUGGAACAGGAAUGAAAUAUAAUAGAAGAGGAAUGGAAGAGUGUAGAAGAGGAAUUGAACAUAGAAGGAGUCUGCUACGUCCCAUCGGGGACGCUAUAAGUCACUUAAAGCUAACUGCCAGUUGAAGUCUCUGGGAAUGUGAUAACAACAAUGGCAACUAACAGCUUCACUAGCCAGCUAUUCUGGUUAAAGCCUUCAGCAAUAACACAGACCAUUUCCGGAGACCUUCUCCCUUACCUCACCUCGCUCAUCAACUCAUCCCUGACCGCUGGCUACGUCCCUUCCGUCUUCAAGAGAGCGAGAGUUGCACCCCUUCUGAAAAAACCUACAUUCGAUCCCUCCGAUGUCAACAACUACAGACCAGUAUCCCUUCUUUCUUUUCUCUCCAAAACUCUUGAACGUGCCAAAUCAGUCAGGUUUCAAGACUAGUCAUUCAACUGAGACUGCUCUUCUCUGUAUCACGGAGGCGCUCCGCACUGCUAAAGCUAACUCUCUCUCCUCUGCUCUCAUCCUUCUAGACCUAUCGGCUGCCUUCGAUACUGUGAACCAUCAGAUCCUCCUCUCCACUCUCUCCGAGUUGGGCAUCUCCGGCGCGGCCCACGCUUGGAUUGCGUCCUACCUGACAGGUCGCUCCUACCAGGUGGCGUGGCGAGAAUCUGUCUCCUCACCACGCGCUCUCACCACUGGUGUCCCCCAGGGCUCUGUUCUAGGCCCUCUCCUAUUCUCGCUAUACACCAAGUCACUUGGCUCUGUCAUAACCUCACAUGGUCUCUCCUAUCAUUGCUAUGCAGACGACACACAAUUAAUCUUCUCCUUUCCCCCUUCUGAUGACCAGGUGGCGAAUCGCAUCUCUGCAUGUCUGGCAGACAUAUCAGUGUGGAUGACGGAUCACCACCUCAAGCUGAACCUCGGCAAGACGGGGCUGCUCUUCCUCCCGGGGAAGGACUGCCCGUUCCAUGAUCUCGCCAUCACGGUUGACAACUCCAUUGUGUCCUCCUCCCAGAGCGCUAAGAACCUUGGCGUGAUCCUGGACAACACCCUGUCGUUCUCAACUAACAUCAAGGCGGUGGCCCGUUCCUUUUCCUGGCUCUGCGGACCCCUGGGAGAUUGAUCACAGCUCUAUAAGUCUGCAUUUCAAUUGGACUGGUGUGUAUUAGAUGCCUAUAGGGAACGCACUAUUCCCUUUGAGAUGGACAGCUCCUGAGGACAUCACCAGUAGAAAGUUCACCAUCAUGGGUGACGUGUGGUCCUUCGGCACCUUGCUGUAUGAGAUUGUGACCUAUGGGGAGAUGCCCUGUCCCAGUAAGAUUUGUAUAAUUAGAAUAUAUUAAUCUCCUUGGCAUUAAAGCUCAUUGAGGGAAAAAUUGGACAAGAUGGUGCUGACUGAGAGGGGCGAAAUCAAAUUAUCUUUACUUCUAUUGUACAGAAAAGUUCAUACUAUUAUCCCAUUUGACCCCAAGCACUUCUGGAUAUCAGAUAAACAGUUACUAACCACGAUUUCGACCUCAAAUAAUACUUCAACUCAGCUGUUGCCCGGUCCCUAUUCCUUUGUUCCAUUAGCUACCAAAUCCCUGCAGGCAUAGACGCAGUAGACAAGCUGCAGCCCUGGUGAAAAUGAGCGAGGAGAAAACCGAACGGCGCUCCCCUCCUUUCCGUUGGCAAAUGUCCAGUCACUUUAGAAUAAGAUGAGCUUCGUUUGAGAGUCACACGUCUUACAGAUACGUGGCUAGAUGAUGACACUAUACACAUAGUAAUUUGUGGAUUCUUAAUCUGGUGGUAAGAUCGGAUGAAGGCUUUGGGAAAGUCUAAAGAAGGAGGGGGGGGUUCAUAAAUAACAACAGGUUUGCUGCUUCCAGUGUGAAGGAAAUCUAUAACUUUUGCUCACCUGAUAUACAAUACCUUAUGGUAAGUUAAGCUGCAGACUCUUUCAUCUACCAAGAGAGUUAUCCGUAAUUAUCACGGCUGUCUACAAGACAACAAAACUCUGUCACUCAACAAACUGUAUGGGGCCAUAAACAAACAAGAAACUGCUCACCCAGUGGCAGUGUUUCUGGCGGGCGGAGACUAACUUGAGGAGAUUAAAACCGUCCUCCCUCACUUCUACCAACACAUCACCUGCUCCACUAGGGGACCUAAAACUCUAGACCACUUUUAUUCUACCUACAGAAACUCAUACAACGCCAUCCCUUGUCCUCCCUUCUGCAAUUCUGACCACAACUCCAUUCUCCUGCUUCCUGUUUACAAAACAAAGCUCAAACAGGAAGUACCAGUGAUGCGUUCAAUACGGAAGUGUUCGGAUGACACGAGGUUACAAGACUGUUUUGCUAGUACAGAAUGGAAUAUGUUACAGGAUUCAUCCGACAGCAUUGAGGAGUUUACCACAACAGUCGCAGGGUUCAUCAAUAAGGGCACAGACAAUGUCAUCUCCACAGUGACUAUACGAACGUAUCCUAACCAAAAAUCAUCGAUUACAGGCAAUAUCCGUUCUGGGCUAAAGGCUAGAGCUACCGCUUUCUUUCAAGGAAUGGGACAUGGACGCAUGCAAGAAAGCCUGCUACGACCUCUGACUAGACAUCAAACAUGCAAAAGGAUACUAUAGUAGGAAGGUGGAAUCCUAUUACACCAGCUUCGAUGCUCGUCGUAUGUGGUAGGGCCUGCAGACGAUAAUGAAUUACAAAGGGAACCCAGCCGUGAGUAACCCAGUAAUGCAGAACUCCCAAUCCAGCUGAAAGCCUUUUAUUCUCGCUUCGAGGAAUACAACACUGUGUCUAGUGUGAAAGACCCUGUUUUUCUAGAGGACUGUGUGAUCUCUCUCUCCGUGGCCGAUGUGAGCAAAACGUUUAAACAGGUUAACAAUCACACAAACGGAAUACCAGGGUGCGUUCUCAAAACAUGAGCAGACCAGAGCUCCAAGGUAACCUGCCUAAAUGACUCGCCCUGUAGCACGCACAUCUGUAGGUGCUUUGAAAGGCUGGUCAUGACACACAUCAACAUAAUCAUCCCAGACACUAUGGGCCCACUUCAAUUCUCAUAAUGCCCCAACAGAUCCACAGAUGACGCAAUCUAAAUUGCACUUUACACUGCCCUCUCUCACCUGGACAAGAGGGGAAAUAACUAUGUGAGACUGCUGUUCAUAGACUACAGCUCAGCAUUCAACACCAUAGUCCCCUCCAAGCUCAUCACCAAGCUAGAGACCUUGGAAUUGAACACCUUCCUCUGCAACUGGAUCUUGGACUUCCUGACGGGCCGGCCCCAGGUGGUGAGGGUAGGCAACAACAUCUCGCCACGCUGACCCUCAGCAUGGGGCCCCUCAGGGGUGUGUGCUUAGUCCCCUCCUGUACUCCCUGAGAGAGCUUCAAGUUCCUUGACGUCCACAUCACUAAGGACUUAGCAUGGCCCACACACACCAGCACAGUCGUGAAGAGGGCACAGCAGCACCUAUUCCUCCUCAGGAGGCUAAAACGAUUUGGCAUGGACCCUCAGAUCUUCAGAAAUUUCUACAGCUGCACCAUCGAGAGCACCUUGACUGGCUGCAUCACCGAUUGGUAUGGGAAAUGCAACGCCCCCGACCGCAAAGCACUACAGAAAGUGGUAUAUCCCAGUACAUCCCUGGGGCCGAGCUCCCUGCCAUCCAGGACCUCUAUAUUAGUCGGUGUCAGGGGAAGGCCCGAAAGCCAUAGACUGUUCACUCUGCUACUGUCUGGCAAAUGGUACGGAAGCAUUGGCUCUCCGACCAACAGGCUCUGAGACAUUUUUUACCCCAAUGCCAUAAGACUGCUAAAUGCCAGAAGACUGUGAAAUAGUCAAUUAAUGGUUACCCAAACUAUCUAUCCUGAUUCCUAUCUUGCACUGACCCUACGCACACUCACUAGUCUAUAUAUACACACUAUAUACACACUCACUCACACAAAAACUACAUUGAUACUCCCACACAAAACCCAUACACUUGUCGAUUAAGGCAACCCCCCCGCACCUCUCUGGUUAAAUGCAGAAGACACAUUUCAGUUGAAGGCAUUCAGUUGUACAACUGAGUAGGUAUCCCCGUUUCCCUUUCAUACGCCAGAGGAGGACGGGCUCAUUGUAAUGGCUGGAUUGGAAUAAAUGGAACGGAGUCAAACGUGGUUUCCUUAUGUUUGAUGUGUUUGAUACUGUUCCAAUCAUUCCAUUCCUGCCUUUACAACAAGCCCGUCCUCCUAUAGCUCCCCCCACCAGCCUCCACUGACAUACGCACACACAUAUACAUCGAUAACAUAUACAAUAACAAAGGGUCCCCACCACUGUUUAGGUAAAAAGCUGAGGGAUGAUACUGGAGAUAUGUGACCAUUCUUAAUUCCAUAGACAGAGCUAGUAUGGAUGCAAGGACUGACCAUUCAUGAUAUCAAAAUUAUAGUUUUAACCACGUUUUGAGUCGAUUCAUUUGUUUAUAAAUAUUGGAGUAAAACGGUGGGUCUUCUGCGCUCAUUCACUUCACUUCAGUUUGACCUUUUUCCUGAGCUCUGUUCUCCACGAUAACAUUUGAUUUCAAACACCUCUUCAUCUUCUUUACCAUUUACACAAUGGUGUGAGCCUAGCUUCAGUGUGCAAGGCAAUGGCAAUCAAUGUCGCAACAAACAUACCACACAGGUGGGCAUAAUUAUAAAUUCACAGUCAAUAUUGGCUCAAUCAAGAGGUCCCGGUAGAGGAAGCAGUGGGGGAAACAUGACAAUCAAAUAAAGAUAGACACACAAUACAAAUACAUUAUGAUGUCAUUACCUGAAUUUUUGCCCUAUUUAUAACCAACUACAAAAACUACGAAAAAUAACAUUCCUCAUUGAGGCCUGCUGGGGCAAGAGUGGCCAAGCGAUCUAUCCAAUACAUCUCUCUUUGGAGAAGAAAUGUAUCCGUAUCUCUUCCCCUACGUGGCGUCUUCACCAAUUCAAUUCCCAUAUAAUGUAAGGCAAGUUUGUGUGUGUUUUGUGUGCAGGUAUGUUCUUACACAGCAUAUUUUUGUGAAACGUGUAUGCAAGUGAACACUAACCAUCCUUUUCUUUUCUGGCCAUCUCCUUGUUCUCUCAGAACAUCUCCCUCUCUGUCAGUGACUCUGUGGUGGGGUGUAGUUACAGACACAGGUGUACUGCGCUAAACAGGUACCAGGUACAGGUAUCUGGCUCAGAUUGGAUGGACUGCCCAGCUGGAGGUUGUGGUGGCUAAUUUCUGCACUACCAAAUGAGGAGAUACAAACUUCACACACCAGUCAGAGUUAUACUUAAACUACUUAAACUACAUAAUAAUAAUAAGAGCUUUGCAUUAGCAAUGACUUUCGAUGAUGCGCCAUUUCUAAUGAACCAUUGAAAGUGACAACACAAAAGUACAGAGAUCUUUUAUAGCCAAGAUACACCCCUCUCAACCUACAUGACGAACCACAGAUCUUAGGAACAGUUCAAAAAGGGACUUUAUAAUUAAGAAAGGAGUAUCCCUUAGCCAGAUAACAUUUGCUAUAAAUUAUCGUUCAGUUUGGUCCCUAAAACGAGGUUCUAAUCUCGUUCCUGGUACUUCAUAGACAUUUACAUUUACAUUUAAGUCAUUUAGCAGACGCUCUUAUCCAGAGCGACUUACAAAUUGGUGCAUUCACCUUAUGACAUCCAGUGGAACA